rnacentral:rRNA from 1 species
GGUUAAGCGACUAAGCGUACACGGUGGAUGCCCUGGCAGUCAGAGGCGAUGAAGGACGUGCUAAUCUGCGAUAAGCGUCGGUGAGGUGAUAUGAACCGUUAUAACCGGCGAUUUCCGAAUGGGGAAACCCAGUGUGUUUCGACACACUAUCAUUAACUGAAUCCAUAGGUUAAUGAGGCGAACCGGGGGAACUGAAACAUCUAAGUACCCCGAGGAAAAGAAAUCAACCGAGAUUCCCCCAGUAGCGGCGAGCGAACGGGGAGGAGCCC